AAAAAAAAAUCAUCUGAGCAGCAUCUGCCCCUUCAUCAAGACUUGUGAAUCUUUACUCAGGCCGUCCUGUGUGCAGUUUGCAUAUUGUUGCUUGAACUUGCUCCUUCAACUUGCACAUGUAUCAGAUUCAAAAAGCAUUUGGAGGGAGGCAUGAGGACACCACCCACCUUUGUUUUGGAGGUCAGACUUUUGAGGUGUUGAUGCCCUCUGCGUCUCACGCUACCCACUGUCACCCCACAAAGUAAAGUGACACUUAACUGUCAUGUUAAGGUCAUACGGAAGACUGGAAAUGAUACUUGAGUCAUUAUCCGCAAACAAGGGAAGGUAAUUGCAACCACCUGGGAAUGGCCAAUUGCAGCUCUGACCUGAUUGGCUUGCAGCUCAGCUUUGAAAAAGGGAUUGAGGAAGUCACUGAGCCGGGCAGCAUUCAUGCAUGGCCUGCUUUUUUUUUUGCCACAUAACAGUAAGCAAAUGAAAAGUGCCUCUUCUCCAGUUCAGAAUGUGCCACGCCCCAAAGCCAUUUACGAUCAUCUUUCAAUCGGUUGGCCUCGAACUCCGGCAUGGUUUUGUUGCUGUUACAAAUGAUUGUUGAAAACCGUGAAGUCAUAUUGAAGUAAUCAUAUUUCUCAACAACAAUGAGCAAGAUGGUACUCAAAAAGCUGACUUGCACAUUUGAAUUUAAAGAUAUUUAGCUCGGAGUUGUCGGCUCUACAGCCUGUGUGCAUUGUCGCCCUGCUUUUUUUUUUUCCCUUUACACAGGCACUUAAUUCUUUUUCGCCCAUAUUUAUUUUUAGAACAAAAAUAAGAAUCAGAUCUCAAGCACUUUCUCAAGUAUUGGCCACCGUAAAACUGUUUAUCGUUAUUUCACAAUCUCUGAUCAAGGACAUUUCUAUCAAUGUCCCUCGCUCAUGUGACAUGUCAGAUUUCUGCCAUUGAUCUGCUGCAAGGAUUUCACUACAGUGACUGCCAACGCACCCUACCCUUCAACGCGGGUCGGCUGUCCAGGUGGAUUAGAGACAAUUGGAGCUGACUGGGGCACCACCUCAUCGGCGCAAAGUCACCCGUGACUUCAACGUGUCAGUCACACUAAAAAGGUUUGCGCUGCUUCCUGACAAGUCCAGGGAGACAUGGGCUCGGUUCAACGCACAUCUAUCAGCCCGGCUUUCCACUCACCUGCGGCAAGGCAAGGCAACGCUGCGAUUCAGCCUUCCCUGGGAGAACCAGGAGAGGGGUGACGAGGUCAAAGAGCCAACCAGUACACAAGCCC